rnacentral:lncRNA from 10 species
GGCUUGUGCUGUCUGUUGUUCUGAUUAACCCUCAGUAUCAGGCAGGCACUAUGUCUCAGGGUCUUGGGUGCUGGUGGCAUUCUCUGUGUUCAUACCCCCAUCCCAGAUGUCAUUCUGAGCCCAGCAUUCUUUCUGUCCCUUCCCCAGGGGUAGAGAGUCUUGUUCUGUUUCUUCCCUGAGCUGCAAUCAGUUUCCACAGCUUUUUCUUUCUUUUUCUUUUUUUCCCCUCCCCUCCCCUCCCCUCCCCACUCCCCCUCCCC